AUAAUUGUAUACAGCGCUUCUCUAAAUGUAGUAUCCGUACCGAGUCAGUCUAGUGUUGAUACUACGCAGCCUCGCAACGUUGAAAUCUCCCGGCAGUGUUGUAAUUUCGUUGAAAUCUCCCAGUUCAGUUACAAUAUAAACCAAUACUGUAGGUAUACAGUGAAACUAGAAUAUAUGUAGUGAAAACAAACCAUAGAUAUUGUUUAUAAAGAAGGUAAGUACAGCAUCCUCGAAGUACGCUGAGUACUUGUGUACUGCUGUGUUCUCAGAUAUGAGUGUACUGCCUCUAGUUUUCCCGUCAAAUAUAUCCUGUUUCUCGAGAGGAAGCUUUAAGGAAGAGUUGGCCCGUAAGCGCGAGCUACCUGUGCCCCCUCUACCUAAACGGUCAGGAGUCUGGGCAAAGUCAAACGAGGAUUUGCAAGGUAACAUUUUUCAUAUUUAAGA